rnacentral:rRNA from 1 species
UACGUAGGGGGCGAGCGUUGUCCGGAGUUACUGGGCGUAAAGCGCUUGUAGGCGGUCCACCAAGUUUGGGGUGACAGUUGCCGACUUAAUCGGCAAAGUGCCUCAAAGACUGGCGGACUUGAGGGCCACAGAGGGACAUGGAACUCCAGGUGUAGUGGUGAAAUGCGUAGAUAUCGGAAGGAACACCUGUGGCGAAAGCGGCUCACUGGACCAUUACUGACGCUGAUGCACGAAAGCUAGGGGAGCAAACAGG